CAGUCGAGCGAACAGAUGAGAAGCUUGCUUCUCUGAUGUUAGCGGCGGACGGGUGAGUAACACGUGGGUAACCUACCUAUAAGACUGGGAUAACUCCGGGAAACCGGGGCUAAUACCUGAUAAUAUUUUGAACCGCAUGGUUCAAUAGUGAAAGACGGCUUCGGCUGUCACUUAUAGAUGGACCCGCGCCGUAUUAGCUAGUUGGUAAGGUAAUGGCUUACCAAGGCGACGAUACGUAGCCGACCUGAGAGGGUGAUCGGCCACACUGGAACUGAGACACGGUCCAGACUCCUACGGGAGGCAGCAGUAGGGAAUCUUCCGCAAUGGGCGAAAGCCUGACGGAGCAACGCCGCGGGAGUGAUGAAGGUCUUAGGAUCGUAAAACUCUGUUGUUAGGGAAGAACAAAUUUGUUAGUAACUGAACAAGUCUUGACGGUACCUAACCAGAAAGCCACGGCUAACUACGUGCCAGCAGCCGCGGUAAUACGUAGGUGGCAAGCGUUAUCCGGAAUUAUUGGGCGUAAAGCGCGCGUAGGCGGUUUCUUAAGUCUGAUGUGAAAGUCCACGGCUCAACCGUGGAAGGUCAUUGGAAACUGGGGAACUUGAGUGCAGAAGAGGAGAGUGGAAUUCCAUGUGUAGCGGUGAAAUGCGCAGAGAUAUGGAGGAACACCAGUGGCGAAGGCGGCUCUCUGGUCUGUAACUGACGCUGAUGUGCGAAAGCGUGGGGAUCAAACAGGAUUAGAUACCCUGGUAGUCCACGCCGUAAACGAUGAGUGCUAAGUGUUAGGGGGGUUUCCGCCCCUUAGUGCUGCAGCUAACGCAUUAAGCACUCCGCCCGGGGAGUACGACCGCAAGGUUGAAACUCAAAGGAAUUGACGGGGACCCGCACAAGCGGUGGAGCAGGUGGUUUAAUUCGAAGCAACGCGAAGAACCUUACCAAAUCUUGACAUCCUUUGAUCGCUCUAGAGAUAGAGUUUUCCCCUUCGGGGGACAAAGUGACAGGUGGUGCAGGGUUGUCGUCAGCUCGUGUCGUGAGAUGUUGGGUUAAGUCCCGCAACGAGGGCAACCCUUAAGCUUAGUUGCCAUCAUUAAGUUGGGCACUCUAGG
rnacentral:rRNA from 2 species